UCGAGAAUUUUUCACAAUGGGCGCAAGCCUGAUGGAGCGACGCCGCGUGGGGGAUGAAUGGCUUCGGCCCGUAAACCCCUGUCAUUUGCGAACAAGUUGGUUCAGUUAAUAGCUGAACCAUUGAUAGUAGCGAAAGAGGAAGGGACGGCUAACUCUGUGCCAGCAGCCGCGGUAAUACAGAGGUCCCAAGCGUUGUUCGGAUUCACUGGGCGUAAAGGGUGCGUAGGUGGUGAGGUAAGUCGGAUGUGAAAUCUCCGAGCUCAACUCGGAAAUGGCAUUGGAAACUACCUUGCUCGAGGGUUGGAGGGGGGACUGGAAUACUUGGUGUAGCAGUGAAAUGCGUAGAUAUCAAGUGGAACACCAGUGGCGAAGGCGAGUCCCUGGACAACUCCUGACACUGAGGCACGAAAGCUAGGGGAGCAAACAGGAUUAGAUACCCGUAGUC
rnacentral:rRNA from 1 species